GCUUACAGCCACACCUCCUGAGCACGCCCCGAUCGCCUCUGAUCUCGGAAGCUAAGCAGGGUCGGGCCCGGUUAGUACUUUGGAUUGGGAGACCGCCUGGGAAUACCAGGUGCUGUAAGCC
rnacentral:rRNA from 1 species